rnacentral:rRNA from 1 species
UACGUCCACACCUUUUAGGUGUGGGCCAGUUGGCUGUCAUACUUCCAAGAAAAGCUCGAACUACUGUAAAGCAUCAAAUACCUGUACCGUAAACCGACACAGGUGGGUUGGUAGAGUAUACCAAGGGGCGCGAGAUAACUCUCUCUAAGGAACUCGGCAAAAUGACCCCGUAACUUCGGGAGAAGGGGUGCCAAGUAACUAAAAUUGCUUGGUCGCAGUGACCAGGCCCUGGCGACUGUUUAUCAAAAACACAGGUCUCCGCAAAGUCGUAAGACAACAUAUGGGGGCUGACGCCUGCCCAGUGCCGGAAGGUUAAAGAAGUUGGUUAUUCAUUCGUGGAGAAGCUGACGACUGAAGCCCCGGUGAACGGCGGCCGUAACCAUAACGGUCCUAAGGUAGCGAAAUUCCUUGUCGGGUAAGUUCCGACCCGCACGAAAGGCGUAACGAUCAGGGCACUGUCUCGGAGAGAGACUCGGUGAAAUAGACAUGUCUGUGAAGAUGCGGACUACCUGCACCUGGACAGAAAGACCCUAUGAAGCUUGACUGUAGCCUGGAAUUGGGUUCGGGCUCUUCUUGCGCAGCCUAGGUGGGAGGCGUUGAAAGCUUUCUUUUGGGAAAGCUGGAGCCAUCAGUGAGAGACCACUCUGGAGGAGCUAGAAUUCUAAUGGCGUUCCUUGAAGCAGGACGCUUGACAGUUUCAGGUGGGCAGUUUGACUGGGGCGGUCACCUCCUAAAAGGUAACGGAGGUGUGCAAAGGUUCCCUCAGGCUGGACGGAAAUCAGCCGUAGAGUGUAAAGGCAGAAGGGAGCUUGACUGCAAGACCUACAAGUCGAGCAGGGGCGAAAGCCGGCCUUAGUGAUCCGACGGUUCCAUGUGGAAGGGCCGUCGCUCAACGGAUAAAAGUUACUCUAAGGAUAACAGGCUGAUCUUCCCCAAGAGUUCACAUCGACGGGAAGGUUUGGCACCUCGAUGUCGGCUCAUCGCAACCUGGGGCGGUAGUACGUCCCAAGGGUUGGGCUGUUCGCCCAUGAAAGCGGUACGUGAGCUGGGUUCAGAACGUCGUGAGACAGUUCGGUCCAUAUCCGGUGUAGGCGUUAGAGCAUUGAGAGGAGCCUUCCAUAGUACGAGAGGACCUGGAAGGACGCACCUCUGGUAUACCAGUUAUCAUGCCAAUGGUACACGCUGGGUAGCCAUGUGCGGAGUGGAUAACCGCUGAAAGCAUCUAAGUGGGAAGCCCACCUCAAGAUGAGUGCUCUCCAUCAGGUCACAGGAAGACAACCUGUUUGAUAGGCAGAAGGUGUAAGGCUAGUAAUAGUUUCAGCUGAUCUGUACUAAUAGACC